GUAAAGAUGAUGUAUCACUAUGUUGCCCCUCUGGCAGGCUAAGUUCUCAACAGAAAAGUUCACUUUAAUUGAGGCUUUUACAGCCUUUUCUUCUAGACACCCCUCCACACACUACAUUGGCCUCCUGCCCCAACUUCUCUCCUGAAACUGCUUUUGCCAUAAUCAUAGGGACCCUCUGGGUGCCACAUUCAGUUUUUCAUUAUACAUAUUGAUCUCUUAGCAGCAUUUGAAACUAUUAACCAAUUCUUCUUACAACUUUCUCUUUCCUUGGUUUUUAUCAUAUCAUUCUCUUCAGCGUUUCCUUUUACCUGUCUAACUCUUCCUUCUUCAUCUCUUUCCUGGACUCUUCUUAAAUAUUGGCAUUGUGGGGGCUUCACCUUUAGCCUGCUGUUCUUCUGGAACUAUAUUCUAUGCCUGGGUGACCUCAUUCAUGUUCAUAAAUUCAAUCACCAUUUAUACACUGAAGAUUCCCCAAGUUCAUCUCUCAUUUAAGCAACUCUUUUGAGAUUUAAACCCAUUUCUCCAACUAUUUCCUGGUAUUUGCUGGACAUCUUCACCCAAAUGUUCAAUGAGCACCUCAGAAAAUCAAGAACAUAACAAUUCUUGAACAUAUUCUCUUGUUCCUAGAAUAUAAGUUCAGGAAGAUAGGAAUUCUUACCAAUAUUGUUUAUUGCUGUAUCCCUAGAGCUUAUAAUAUUGUCAGACACAUAUUAAGUGCUCAGUUAAUAUUGGUUAAAUGAGUGGACAUUUCCCCCACCAACCUAUUCUUCCCUCUGUAUGGCAGUAACAUUUGCCCAAUUAUAGCAACACAGUUUUUUGUCAUCUCUUUUUUCCUUAAUCCUUAUAUCCCAUUGGUUUCCUAUGUCCUGCAUAUUUAACCUGCUCAAUCUAAAGUUCAUUCCUUCUCCUACAUUCUCACUGAUAUUUUUCAGGCCUUUAUAAUCUCUCCUUCGUUUGUAUCAUCAUUUUUCUUAUUCAUAAGAUGGGGAUAAUAAUAGGCGCUAUCUCAUAGGACAGUCAUAAGCUUCAGUGAGGUAGUAUACCCAAACUCUUAGUAUGGUGCUGUGAUGACUCAGUAAAUUUGGCAAGACAGCUGUAUUUCUUAUGUAUCUAUAUGGAUCUCUACAAAUACAUCUACGUGCAUUGAGAGGACAGUCUCAUUCAUCUCCAUAUUUUAGUGUUAAGUCCUAACCCAGGAGAGAGACUCUUGAACAGAUAAAUACAUUUGCUUUGUAGUGUCAAUAAAGUCAUGUCCUUGUUGAACCUCAGAUUGCUCAUUUGUUAAUUUGAAUUUGUGCUUUAAUGUCAAUCAAGUCACGUCUUUGUUGGACUUCAGGUUAUUCAUUUAUUAAUUCAGUUAGCUAGACUAGCUAGGAUCAUUUUAUAGCCGUUUCAUAAUACAAAGCACGUUGAUAGCCAUUAACUCAUUUCCAUGGUUAUUCUUCAUUUUAUUUUCAUAGCUAUUAUUAUCAUUAGCCCCCCAGUUUUACAGGUGAAAUGACUGAGACUUAACAGGGUGUGAGUUGUCCAUAACCCGUCCAAUACUUGUUAAAAGCAGAAUCAGGAUCUGAACCCAGUCUUCUAAUGCUAAGUCCUAUUGUUCUAAAUAUUCAGGUGAAAAUAUAUGCAUUUUAUUUUCAUGUUUCAGGACGUUGUUUGUGGUCUCUUAUUGCACAGUUUUUUCUUGAGUCAGUUGGUGGUAAAGGAUGAAACUUAGUGGUAGAAGCCACCCUAGGGCCCUAGUUCCUUUGGCUUACAGAAGAAAAAGAAACAAUAAAAAUCCAUUUGCUUGAGAGGUUGUGAAAUCAGAGGAAAAAGCCACCUCGUCCCACACCCCAAUUGUAGUCAAGAGCCAGACUUUGCUGCGGCAUUUUUGGCAGAUUGAACCCUUUGUCUGUGUUGACAUAGAUGCUGAGGGGAGCUUUCUUUAUUCUGAGAUAAAGAGACAGGAUCUGAGAUUAUAAAAGCUUUCACAUGUCAGAGAAAGAACCGGUGGGAACAAAUUCAUUCAUGAAACUGCCUUAAGGAACUCCAGGUGUUGAGGCACUGGGAGAGACAUACACAAAUGGAUAGAUGUCAGGUUUCCAGGAGCUCCACCCAGCCACCAUCAUAAGUACUCAUUUGGGGAAUCCAGAUUGUUCAUUGCGUAGCCCAGUGGCUUUUCAAGUAUGUUUUGUGGACCUUCAGAGUCAGAAGAAUUGGGGGUAUUUUCACUUUUUGCCCUAUUUACAUGAUUUUUCUAAACCAUUUGAAAGUAAGUUGCAGACAUUAUUUUCUUUUUUAAAUUCUUCAGCAUUCAUCUUUAAAACAUGAGGACAUUCUCCCACAUAGCCAUAAUAGGAGAAUAUUAUGACCUUAGAUAUUUUCACAUCGAAGACAUUCAUAAUUCCUAAAUAUCAUUUAUAACCAUUCCACACUAAAAAUGUCAAUUGUCCCAAAAUGUCUUUUAUAGCUUUUUUAAAAAUCCAGGAUUCAAGUAGGUCUCCUGCAAUGUAGAAAAAUUCUCUUGCUUUUAUUCCCCAUUGUCUUUGAGAAGAAUCCAGGUCAGUUGUCUUGAUGAGGAUCUCACAUACUGCAUGUGUAUUUUUUUGUCCUCGUGGUCUCAAUUAACUUGUUCAGGGAAACUGGCAGUCUACUACUUUGCUGAGAGUGCAAAUUGAGGUCAUCUUUCUGGAGGGAAAUGGGUAAUAUAUUUUAAAACUUUCACAGACUUAGGUUUAAAUUAAGCUGGAGCCAGAUUAGAUUCAGGCUAAACACUUUUAGCAGGACUUUUCAUAAAUAAUCCAUGUAUAAUGCAUUGCACCAUCUUACUAGGCACAUGAUGUCAGAUUGUCCCACUAUUGAUGAUGUUAAAUUUGUUCAGUUGGUUCAGAUGGUGUCAGCCACAUUUUACAAGUGUAACUUUCACCUAGAGGACAUAGCAUCCAAUUAUGAUCCUUACCUGAAUCAAUCAUUGGAAACUGCAAAAUGUUGAUUUCUAAAUUCUAUUACUCCUUCUACUUUUACUAACCAGAGUUUUCCUCUAAAAAUAAUUUUUCUCCCUCCACCCUUUCAUCCCCCAGUCCACCCUGAGUAUCACUGUAGACUUGGAAUGUUAAAGAUUCUAUGUUGUUUUUUUUAACCAAUUGCCUUGAUUAUUCUUUUUGAUACAUAAAUUGUCUCAAAUUUGGCCAGUGAGAGCUCUCUCUAGUUGAUUUUUGUAUCCUUUUGACAUAUCAAUAUCAUUUUUUGAUCACUUGUUUACUUUCUGAUGCAGAAAGAAGUCCCAGUUUCGCCUGGUAUUUUGUUUGUUUGUUUGUUUGAACUUUAAAGAUCAGAUUUAUUUGGAGAAAACAAAAAGCCCACAACCCAAAGGAUGGGAUUUUACAUCAAGACAUCUCCCAGGGGAGGAAUAGAGAGGAAAGACACAGAGGACAGUGCUCAGCCUCUUCCUGACAUUUCAAGCAAUUCUGCUCAGACCCUAAACUUGCAUGCCUCUCUGAGACAGAAGGCCAGAAGACAGAAGAGGAACAGAAUUUGGGGAGCCGAUCCAAGAUUGUCCAUCCAUGGCUGGUACUCAGAGUUCAAAGCCACAUGCUCCCACACAGGUAAAAUGGACAACUAAGUGCACUGCUCAAAGUUCUGACAAGAAGAUAUUUCUUCCUAACCGCCUUUCAGGAUCACCCUUGGGGAAUUCUAUAAUGCUGUGGUCAUCCAGUUUUAGGAGGUAGCAGCAUAUCAUCAGAAUCAUCUGUAAAUCAGACCUGAAUUUUUUUCCUAGUCAAUUUGUCAUAGGAAGUUCCCCAUGGAGCCUAGGCGUGGAUUAAAGGAGAGGUGGCAAUGCAACAGGAUUAGAUGCCACUGAAGAUGUUAAAAUAUAAAAAGUAAUGCGUUUCAGCAAGUGAUAGCUAACAUUUUUUAAACUUAUGUGGCAGGAACUAUUGCUUAUGAUGAUAAGUAAUAAUUAUUCUAACCUUACCAAUAACCCUGGGAAGUAGGGUUUUUCUUAACAUUCCUAUUCUGCAAAGAGGAAAACCAAGUUAAGUCAGUCAUCUAAGGUUACCCAAGUAGCAAACAUGGUACUGUGAAGCUGGGCAGUCAGACUCCCGAGCCUAUGCUGUUAACCCACACCCUGAGGCCUAGCAAUCUUGGGUAGAUGGAGGAGAAAGCAGAAAGUAAGGGAGAGGGCAGCAAAUCUGUUGCUUGCUAUUAAGGUCCUUUGGCUCCAUCUGCUGUUUAGUGCCAGAGUUGGCAAUUCCAAAUAGUUUGGACUCCUAUAAUUGAUGUUUUUUUCUUUCUCUUACUGGAACACAUAUGCCUAUCAUGUUUUCUUCUUCUAUUGUUAGGUCGUCUAUUCAAACAAAAAGAUUAUAGAUCUCAUUUUAACUUCCUAAGUGAGCCCAAUAUGGACCAGAAGACUGUUGGUGUCCAUCUGUUUGAAUGUUGAAGGCUGUUUGACUUUGUGCCUGCUUCUAGUAUGGUCCAAACAAUUGAAGAUAUUUUGGCUUUGAGAACACCAUAAAGAAGAAUGAGAUCCUGUCAUUUGCAACAACAUGGUUGGAACUACAGGUCAUUACGUUAAGUGAAAUAAACUAGGCAAAGAAAGACGAAUAUCAUAUGUUCUCACUUAUU